UGUUGGGUUCUAGAUGUUAUGAUGACGAGUCGGUUCGGGCUCCGCACUAGGUUUGGUCACCUAGGGGAUGGAGAUAUGGAAAGGGUCUCGUGUGCUGUUAGACGGUCGUAAGACGCGCUUGCAACAUGGGCCUAUGACCGGAUAAGUCAUAGCAAUACUAGCCAACA
rfam:Carnation Italian ringspot virus genomic sequence for ORF1-5